CCUACGGGUGACAGCAGUGAGGAAUAUUGGUCAAUGGGCGCGAGCCUGAACCAGCCAAGUAGCGUGAAGGAUGACUGCCCUACGGGUUGUAAACUUCUUUUAUAAAGGAAUAAAGUGAGGCACGUGUGCCUUUUUGUAUGUACUUUAUGAAUAAGGAUCGGCUAACUCCGUGCCAGCAGCCGCGGUAAUACGGAGGAUCCGAGCGUUAUCCGGAUUUAUUGGGUUUAAUUGGAGCGUAGAUGGGUUGUUAAGUCAGUUGUGACAGUUUGCGGCUCAACCGUAAAAUUGCUAUUGAUACUGGCAGUCUUGUGUACAGUUGAGGUAGGCUGAAUUCGUGGUGUAGCGGU
rnacentral:rRNA from 1 species